rnacentral:rRNA from 1 species
AUUGAACGCUGGCGGCAGGCCUAACACAUGCAAGUCGAACGGUAACAGGAAGAAGCUUGCUUCUUUGCUGACGAGUGGCGGACGGGUGAGUAAUGUCUGGGAAACUGCCUGAUGGAGGGGAUAACUACUGGAAACGGUAGCUAAUACCGCAUAACGUCGCAAGACCAAAGAGGGGGACCUUCGGGCCUCUUGCCAUCGGAUGUGCCCAGAUGGGAUUAGCUUGUUGGUGGGGUAACGGCUCACCAAGGCAACGAUCCCUAGCUGGUCUGAGAGGAUGACCAGCCACACUGGAACUGAGACACGG